rnacentral:rRNA from 1 species
CAAUAGCGUAUAUUAAAGUUGUUGCAGUUAAAAAGCUCGUAGUUGGAUUUCUGGUGGGAGCGAUCGGUCUGGCGCUUAGCGCGAGUACUUGCAUCGUCUCCGGCCAUCCUUGGGGAGAGUCUGUCUGGCAUUAGGUUGUCGGGCAGAGGAUCCUCAUCGUUUACUGUGAAAAAAUUAGAGUGUUCAAAGCAGGCUUAUGCCGUUGAAUAUAUUAGCAUGGAAUAAUAAGAUAGGACUUUGGUACUAUUUUGUUGGUUUGCGCACCAAAGUAAUGAUUAAUAGGGACAGUGGGGGGUAUUCGUAUUCCGUUGUCAGAGGUGAAAUUCUUGGAUUUACGGAAGACGAACUACUGCGAAAGCAUUUACCAAGGAUGUUUUCAUUAA